CGGGCCCGCCUCAUUCCUGCAGUGACAAAAGGAGAUGCGGGAGCUGGACCUCCAGGAGGAGCUUGCCCAGGUGGAGCGCCGGCGUCUGGAGGGACCCAUCAGUUAUGAAAAGGCCGCUCUCGCCCGCACCGGCAUCAUGUAGAGCAACCAGAAGACUACACUGCUAAAGAAGGAAGAGACUGCCAAGCUGAUGCAGAGAUACAUAAACAAGCAGUUGCAGGAGGAGAAAGAGAUGAGAGACCUGGAGCAAGAGAUGGUAGAUGGACACAAAAACUCAAAAGCAGCUAAAGUGAAGCUGCAGGAGUUCACACAGUGUAUAGUAAAGGAAGUGUCAGAGCAGUGACUCCUCAGGAACCUCCCCAUCUCCUGGUUCAGGAGCUGGUUCAUGACGUGAA